UACGGAGGGUGCGAGCGUUAAUCGGAAUGACUGGGCGUAAAGGGCACGCAGGCGGUUUGUCAAGUCGGAUGUGAAAUCCCCGGGCUCAGCCCGGGAACUGCAUUCGAUACUGGCAGACUAGAGUCUUGUAGAGGGGGGUAGAAUUCCAGGUGUAGCGGUGAAAUGCGUAGAGAUCUGGAGGAAUACCGGUGGCGAAGGCGGCCCCCUGGACAAAGACUGACGCUCAGGUGCGAAAGCGUGGGGAGCAAACAGG
rnacentral:rRNA from 1 species